rnacentral:rRNA from 1 species
GACGAACGCUGGCGGCGCGCCUAACACAUGCAAGUCGAACGAGCGAGAGAGAGCUUGCUUUCUUGGGCGAGUGGCGAACGGGUGAGUAACGCGUGAGGAACCUGCCUCAAAGAGGGGGACAACAGUUGGAAACGACUGCUAAUACCGCAUAAGCCCACGGUGCCGCAUGGCACAGAGGGAAAAGGAGCAAUCCGCUUUGAGAUGGCCUCGCGUCCGAUUAGCUAGUUGGUGAGGUAACGGCCCACCAAGGCGACGAUCGGUAGCCGGACUGAGAGGUUGAACGGCCACAUUGGGACUGAGACACGGCCCAGACUCCUACGGGAGGCAGCAGUGGGGAAUAUUGCACAAUGGGGGAAACCCUGAUGCAGCGACGCCGCGUGGAGGAAUAAGGUCUUCGGAUUGUAAACUCCUGUUGUUGGGGAAGAUAAUGACGGUACCCAACAAGGAAGUGACGGCUAACUACGUG